rnacentral:misc_RNA from 1 species
GUGAAGGGCGCAUAAAAGGGAGUGAAGGCAUCGAGAUGAGACGACCACGAGGAAGAGGGAGGAUAGCCGAUGGCACGGGGCGACAUGUAAUGCCUUGAAAGAGGAAGAAACUAGGUGAAGGUGAAGCAUGAAGGAUCACGAGCGUGGGCGUGCGACUAAAUGUGUAGGGGAUGCCGUGAGACUGAGGAGUAGAGAUUGGGUGUGGGUGAGGCCAACAAAGAUUUAUGAGGGAGGCUGAGAGGGUGGAGAAACGAUUUAUGAGGCCACUAGCGCAUCUUCCUCUCUGUCUCUUGCUCCGUCUCGCUCUCGAAAUCGACUUGUCGAGGCUUUUGUUUCGGGUUCUGAAUGAACCAUCAUUCUGUAAGAGGCACAGGCUAAAGAUGAAAUGACCGAGCUUAUGCUCAUGGGUAAAACUCAAAUUUUCAUUUUUUGAGCUUUCCAUUUUCGAUUUUUGACAGGGUCUUUUCCUUAAACGCACGCUACCCACUCUCGAAUCAAGUAUAUGUUAUCUUACAAUUUCCCUAAACCAUAUAUGUCUGGAAAACAAAAAUGCUGCAUUGAGAAUUAUAGCUUGAAACUAACGGGAAAAAUGCGCUUCAAGAUUUCGGCAACUAUAAGGUGUGUACUUUAUUUUAUGGUAUGUGUAGCAGGUUGAACACUGUGCUGCAUGUGGUGAUGUUGGCUUUCAGGAAGUUGCUGUGACCUGUGAUUGCUUCAAUGCUCGUGAAAAUGAGUAAGUAUAUUAUAUAUAUUCUCUUUUUUUCUUUUGAGUUUCUUGAUGUUUUAUGUAUUGCUCUUUCCCCUUGGUUCUCCUUGAUGAAAAAAAGUGAGAGGGAAAGAAUUAAAGGGACCUAUCCAAAAAGCAAUUAUUGUUUCCUUAAAAUGUUGGAUAAAAUUGUGCAUUAAUUAAAUGCGCUUCAUAAACCAUGCAUACCAAAUCGAUUUUGUGAACAAAUUUUUGCUUGUGCCUUCUUCUUGGUGAUCUUUGAGGGUGUUUGAUAUUAAUGUUGCAACUACAGAUCAUGAAAGCAUUUUUUUUAAAAAUAUGUUGAUUAAAUUAUAUGAAACUAUUAAAAAUUCUAAAACAACAUUAAAAAAAGGGUGGAACUUGCUUUUAAAAUGAUAUAAAAUAGUGCUUUUCUGAAAAGCAAUGUCAAAUUGACCAUAACCCCGCAUGUGUUCUGAUAUUCUGGUUGUUGGCAUUCUUUUUAUUUUCAAAUUUAUUUUAUUUAUCUUCUCUUCAGAUAUUGCACACAUUACAACAGCUUGGCAAUUCCAGAAAUUUGGUUUUGUGAAAAAUGUUGCAAUAGCGAUCACUUAGGUUUACCAGAAUUCAGUCCAAGGGGAACUUCUCUUGAUUCUUUGUGUUCAAGCCCCAUUGGGGUGGCUAUCCAUGGGAACAAAGAGAUUCCUUCAGGUCAGGAAGAACCAACUUAUGCUGGAGAUGAUGCAUUUUCAUAUGGGAAGGCAAAGCAAGUAAUCAAUGGAAUCUCUACAGUGAAAUCUCACUGCCCUACAAAGUUUUCUGGCAAGAAGGCAGAGCAAGCAUCUAAUGAAACAUCAUGCCCAUCUUUCUCAAUAAAGACACCUUCAUUUUCUCUGAACCAUUCAGGCAACGAGGCUGAAAAAACAACUGAUGGCAGACUGUCUCUGAAUUCUCUAACAGAUAAACCUACACAGCUGCCUAAGUCUUCAGGCAUGAAGGCAGAACAAGCAACUUAUGAAGGAUUGUGGUCAUUUUUCUUACCACCAGAACCUCUGUCCUUCACGCAUGAUGGUAAGAAGGCAGAGGAAGCAAUCAAGGACGGGGUUUCUCUAUCUUCUUUAACGACGAAACCCCCACCACCCCCUAGGCAUUCAAGGAAGAAGCUUUCAGGUGAAAAACACUACCUUGACGAUAAACCCAAAACUUCUGACAUCCAAGCAAUGCCUGUCAAUUAUAAUCUGCUUCAGUUUGAGAAAUACCCUUCAAACCAUCCUAAGCUUGAAGCUGUAUGGAAUGGAAGCUUUGAGGUUCUUGAUACGGUGUUCCCUGGAAAUGGUUGUUUUAGGGCUCAUCUUCCUCAGUGUCCAUGGAUUAUUGAUAGUAGAGCGUAUCAGGUUGCCAAGCAAAUGCCCAAAGUACUACAGUUUGAGCUGCGACCUCGUUGCAACAUUUGGGCUGAGAUCUUUAAGAAUGAUUUUGCUUUUGGUUGUGACAUUUCACUUUAUUUUUUUCCUGGAAAUUCAGAGAGGUUCGUUUCAGAUCUAAGAUUAAUUUUCUAUAUUGAAGAAGAUGGAUUCUUAUUUAUGUAAAUGCUGGUACAAACUGUAGGUCUAUACAGCAAUUUGGUCUCCUGUGGUCAUUCAUUGAUAAAGAAGAUCUAGUGAUGAGGACUUGCAUGAAUGAUUUUGAGUUAUUACUAUUCUCAUCUAAGCGAUUGCGCUAUGCUGAUGAGUUAAAAUGGAUAUCCUUCCUAUGGGGAGUUUUCCGUUUUGCAAAAAAAGAACAUGUCUCUGCUAGCGUAUCCAACAAUAAGAUAUCUGAAGCUCAUGCCUCUGGAGUUGGAACUACAAGUAAACAGCUCCCAAGGAAGAAAACUAAAAGGAUCAACAACCUUGAAGUUCCUCCUGGGUUCUUUAGGAAAUCUGCUAGUGAGGAUGCUCUUGAGGAAAGCUUUGAUGCCUCUAAUCUAGUGGAAGUUCCUGUGAGAAGUCAUCCGGUAAUUUUCUUUGUCCAUAUUUCAGUUAUAUAUGGCAUGCAGUAUACUGACUUAUUUAGAUGAUAGAAUUAUCACUGUGUAUGGUCUUAGAUAUCAAAAUUAAAAGAGGAUAUGCUCUACAAAAUUGGAAAAUGAAAUGAGAAAAUCUUCUGUCAAUUAAUUAAUGUUUUAUUAGCAUGCUUGUAUGCAAUUGUACUAGUCUGGCAGUAAUAUCAGGCAAUGUGAGAAUUGGACUCGAUCAUGUCAGUUAGUGAUUUAGCUUGGGCCUUGGGGGCUUUAUAAGUCUUUGGUUAGGCAAUUUGAAAGGCCAAGUACAUUCUUGAUACUCAAAUUAAAUUUGCUUGGUAAUUUAAUUUCUACUUCACAGUUACUUGUGUCUUCAAAAUUACAGGCUGUUUCUCGUAGCGCAGCCCAUUGGGCUCGGGUUGCUCGUCGUAGGAGACCUGGCAAGCCCAACAAAACACCAUGAGUUGCGCAUAUCAGGAAGGGUGGCCAACAUGAGAUGUUGUCAAUGAAGAAUAACCAUCAUCUCUAGUUGUCAACUGAAUAAGUUAACCAGAUACUUGUAUCGCAGACUGGUUUUUGAGUAACUGAUUUCGUGUGGAAAACUGUAGGACCAUCUUGCCUUUUUUGGUUGUGCCCUUUGUGACCACUCACCAAAUUUGUUAAACUUGGCUUAUUUUCCUUCUGUUGAUGGUAUUAAGGUUGGAGUUCAUUUUCUAUGUUCAGCAA